AUUGACUAAGGUUUCCAGAGGAAGGCUCGUCCGCUCUGGGUUAGUCGGGUCCUAAGCUGAGGCCGACAGGCGUAGGCGAUGGAUAACAGGUUGAUAUUCCUGUACCACCUAUAAUCGUUUUAAUCGAUGGGGGGACGCAGUAGGAUAGGCGAAGCGUGCGAUUGGAUUGCACGUCUAAGCAGUAAGGCUGAGUAUUAGGCAAAUCCGGUACUCGUUAAGGCUGAGCUGUGAUGGGGAGAAGACAUUGUGUCUUCGAGUCGUUGAUUUCACACUGCCGAGAAAAGCCUCUAGAUAGAAAAUAGGUGCCCGUACCGCAAACCGACACAGGUAGUCAAGAUGAGAAUUCUAAGGUGAGCGAGCGAACUCUCGUUAAGG
rnacentral:rRNA from 1 species